GACGAACGCUGGCGGCGUGCUUAACACAUGCAAGUCGAGCGGAGCGGCGAACGGGUGAGUAACGCGUGAGUAACUGCCCCCCUCUCUGGGAUAACAGUUGGAAACGGCUGCUAAUAUCGGAUAGUGGGGGAUGACUCGCGUCCUCUCAGCUUGUUGGUGGGGUAGUGGCCUACCAAGGCGACGACUGGUAGCCGGCCUGAGAGGGGGACAGGCCGCAUUGGGCUGGGAUACGGCCUAAGCAACUACGGGAGGCAGAAGUGGGGAAUAUUGCACAAGGGGGGAAACUCUAAUGCAGCAACGCCGCGUGGGGGAUGACGGCCUUCGGGUUGUAAACCGCUUUCAGCCAUGACGCGGUAGUGGCAGAAGAAGCACCGGCUAACUACGUGCGAGCAGCCGCGGUAAUUC
rnacentral:rRNA from 1 species